GCAUAGUUAAUGGAUAGCAUGUGAAUAUUAUUGUACUACCCCCUUGUUGCUUCUGAGGGAUGGAAGAGGUUAGAUUAGCCGAAAGCUGGUUAUUAGUUCAAGAAUGUAAGGUGACCCUAUUUUUUAGGGUAAGAAGGAGUAAAGAAAAUGCCUCAAGCCAAUAUUUGAGCACCAGGUGCUAAGAUGCUGAAGUAACCCACGCCAUACUCCCAGGAAAGCUCGAACGACCUUUAAAUAAAAGGAUACCUGUAUCCAAGACAAGUCUCUCUAAGAAACUCAACAAAAUAGCCCCACAACUUCAGGAGAAUGAGCGCCUCCUCACAAAAGGGUAACAGUGACCAGGGACUAGCAACUGUUUACCAAAAACACAAGUCUCCACAAAGUCGUACAACCAUGUAUGGGAGCUGAUGUCUGUCCAAUGUUGAAAGGUCAAGGAAGUUGGUAACCUGAUGAUGGGGAGCAGGCGACCGAAACCCCAAUGAACAGCGACCGUAACAAUAAUAAUCCUAAGGUAGCGAAAUUCGUUAUUGGAUAAGUUUCGACCCGCACGAAAGGCAUAACAAGCUGGGCAUUGUUUCAAAGAGAAGCUUGAUGAAAUAGACAUGUCUGUGAAAAUGCAGACUACCUCAACUGUACAAAAAGACCCUUUAAAGCUUCACUGUUCCUUGAAAUUGGGUUUGGGCCUUUCAUGCGCAGCUUAGGCGGAAGGCGAAGAAGGCCUCCUUCUGGGGAGGCCUAAGCCAUCACGCACUUUGAAAGGGUUAGACUUCUAACCUUGUGUCAGGACCUACAGGCCAGAGGACAGUUUCGGGUAAAUAGUUCUAUGGGGGCGUAGGCCUCCCCAAAGGUGACACAGAUGUGCAAAGAUUUCUUUGGGUCGGACGAAAAUUAGCCCUUGAGUGCAAAGUCAAAAGGGAACUUGACUACAAGACCCACUCGUCAAGUAGAGAUGAAAGUGC
rnacentral:lncRNA from 1 species